GGGUAAUCUGGACUAUUUUGACAUGAAGAAAAAGGACCGGAAAUUUAUAAUCCUGUUCUGAGCAGAUGACAUUUGCUGUAAUUCACCAAAUUUAGAAUUCUGUACGGGCUAAAUACAUGCCCUGUUUCUCUGCCAUUUGCCGUCCCUUCCAUGCAACGCACACGCAGUAGCCAAUAAUUUUGGCAAAUUUAGUGGUCACAGUAAAUGUAUGAAAGAAAUAACCAUAAUGCCAAAUAUUCCACCAGGCACAACUACAACUUCUCCGAGAGUGCAUCAUGUUGACGAACCACGUUCAUAGUUGUAAUGCACUAUCCACCAUCUUCUCCUUUUUUCUGUUGCAAAACCAGUAAUUUUUCAACUUUCUUUUUCGGGAAAUCUGAAUCCUAAGUAUAUAUUUCUUCUACCCAGAAAGAAAAAAAGAGUAUGUCUUGUCUCAUGUUGAGACUAAAUCAUCACACCAUGAUCUCCAGUUCUCCGCUGCAGCAGUUUUACAAGGGUUCAAGUCAGCCAAAAAAAACAACGAUCCGAAAACCCCCAAGAAGCUCCCCUGAAAAUAAAACAUGAGAAGAAAUCAAACUUUUUAUUUGUUUGCCAGAAAGUAAAAGCCCUAUCCUGGUGCCAUACAUACCUUGUUCUAUGUAUGUGCAGUUGCUACAUGUCCUAGCUCUCCCAGAUUCAGGCAGAGCAUACUACACUAGAUCCUCCCUACAAAAGGUCAUCCGACAAAAAAAAGGCCAACCCAUUUCAUGAUUCACACAACAAAGAUAUCAAGAGACAUAGAUGCACAACAAAGGAGGAAGAAAUUAUAUCUUGCACACUCACCUCGCAAGCCUUGACGUCCUGGCAUCCACACAGGAGCAUGCCGUUGAGCAGAUCGGUGGCUUGGAAUGCGCCCCCUCCCUCGCUUCUCUGAAUUUAGUUCAUUUCAGAAACAUGCAUAAACAUCAAUGAUUUUCUGUAACAACAUAGCCUUGUUGUACUCGACCAGAACUGGACAUAAUGGAUAAUAAAUAUACACUCCACUCCAUCUAUGGAAUAUCUGCAGUUAAUAGGUUUUACAAUUGUUUAGGUUAUUUGAGAUUAAUAUCUGCAGUUUUCAUCUUGUGGAACAUACAAGUACUUGACCCUGAAGUUUUAUGUGUGUGUGUGUGUGUAUAUAUAUAUAUAUAUAUAUAN
rnacentral:lncRNA from 1 species